GCAGUGCUUCACUCCGCAAAACAAGAAACAACAACAUGGGACUUUUCUAGUACAUUCCUUGGGAAACUUGGUAUGUCCUGCUUGAAAGAAAAGCCCAAAUAAGACUGCCAAGAUCAUCCAGAGGAAAGGCCAUGUGACCACACACCAAGAAGCUAGCUGUCUGCCAGCCAGGAAGAGAGCCCUGACCAGUAAUCAAAUUGGCUGAAGACUUGAUCUUGGACUCCUUGUCUCCAGAAAUGGCUGCUGUAGUAUCCUAGGGGUCUACUCCAGUCCCUGGUUACCUCGAAUUUUCCAGUCCCUGGAUGUCUCACCAGUGAAGGUUGUGAAACAGCAAAAAUGGCAGCCUGCACCCUCCUCUGGGAGCUCCAUCCCAAGAAGAUGUUGGCACUUCUUAGGAAGGAGCCAUCCAUGUCUGAAGAGAAGAAAUGAUAAUUAACUUCAUCAUGUGGAAAGCUUUAGAAGGAAGUAUCUUGUCCUUCUGUCCAAACCCGCCUCCUCCUUACCACCCCCAAUAAAAAUAAAAGCCAAACAAAUAAAACAUUAGCAGUAGCUCUGAGUUUCUUCCUUUCACUUUUUCUCUCUCUUCAUGCCUUUUCUCCUCCAUUCCUUCCUUCUUUCAAAUCAUUUUUACUAGUUUAAGAGAAUAAUUCAAUCUAUAUUUAGAAAUCAGACUUAAAACUUCAAAAAUUAUACUGAAAUAGCUUCCCCUUAAAGGGUGAAACAGUCAUGAUAAAAAUAACAACCGAUAGAAUAAAAUAAUAUAAAAUUAGCUGAGUUUAUAGUUUCUUUUACACCUCCAUAAUUUAUGUGGAUUUGGAAAUACAGACAGUAUACUGAAAACUAAGAAGUUUUCUAUGAAUUAUGAGAAUUUGCAAUCCACAUAGGCUUAAGUCUAAUGUUAGAAGAUAAAACAAAUUGACCUUAAAUAACUUUCUGACAUAACCUCCCCAUUUCAUGGAUGAAAAACCCUAAAGCUCUCAUAAGUAAAGUGAUUUACUUCAGGACACAAACUAGUUGAUUUAGUUUGGAUGUUUGUCCCCUCCAAAUCUCAUGUUGAAAUGGAAUCCCCAGUGUUGGAGGUGGGGCCUGGUGGGAGGUGUUUGUGUCAUGGGGCAGAUCCAUUAUCCUUAUGAGCUGCUUGGUGCUAUCCUUGUGAUAGUGAGUGAGUUCUCAUGAAAUCUGGUUGUUUAAAAAUUUGUGGCACCUCCCCACCAGCCUUGCUCCUGCUCUUGCGGUGUGAUAUGCCUGCUGCCUCUUCACCUUACACCGUGAUUAUAAGCUUCCUGAGGCCUCACCAGAAGCAGUUCUUCUAUCAGGAUUUUAAGAGGGCAGGCAGAACUUUAAAGCAAAGGAAAUUGCUUGUUUUUGUGAAAUUAACCAGUCUGUUAUCAAGGCGGAGGACAAGAUACGAAUGCUAAUCAUUGUGAAGAAACUCAUUACGGAAUUUUCUCCAAUACAUAGGCAAAAGAAGUGGCUGUUAUCAUUUUGCACUAUAACCAGACAUAUAAUGCUGUUGCUCCACAUCCACGUCAGAGGGCUGCUGCGAUUUGCUGAGGGUCUGCUCCAGACCCUAGUUGCCUCAGGUUUCCUGUACCUGGAGGUAUCACCAGUGAAGCUGCAAAAAAGUGAGAAUGACAGCCUGCCCCUUUCUCUGGAAGCUCCACCUCAGGGGAUUACUGACCUAUUGCCGGCCUGAACAUGACUGUUGGAGGUGGCUGGAGACCUUGGUUGGGAGGUCUUACCCAGUCAAGAGGAAUGGGGUCAGGGACCUGCUUAAAGAAGCAGUCCAGCUGCUUUUUGAUAGAGCAGCUGUGCUGUGUUGAAGAUCUCUUCAGUCUCCAAUCGGUUUGGAUUCUCCAAGGCCCACAGUCUGGAUUGGCUGAGAAGCCUGAACAACCAACAUGGUGGCCUGCUCCACCCCUCAGGCACUCUGUCCCAGGGAGAACAUGGGCAGGGGUGGCCAGAGGCCCCAGCUGGGAGGACCUGGCUGGGAGGACUUGCCCUACGAGGAGUGGAUCAGGGUCCUGCUUAAAGAAGCAGUGUGCAUCUUUUCUUAUGUGUUUCCUUUCCCUCUAUAUAUCUACUUUUGUGAAAUGUUGGUUCAAAUCAUUUGCUUAUUCAUUUUUUUUGUAGUAGUAAGAGGGUUUUUAUACAUUCUACAUUCAAUUUUUUAUCAGAUAUAUGAAUUGCAAUUUUUUUCUUCUCUAUAUCUCAAUUUUUAACUGCCUUUGGAGCAAACAUAUAUAACAUGUGUGAGGUCUGAUUUAGCACUUUUCUUCCUUUUUCAGUUUACUUAAAACUGACUUUAGCUCUUGCCUGUAGGUCUAUGAGUUCAUUUCAAGUCAAAUUUUGUAUAAAGUGGGAAGUAAGUGUCAUGGUUUUUUUUUUUUUUUUUUUUUUUUUACCUCUUUGGCAUAUAAAUGUCCAAUUACUCCAGCACUAUUUGUAGAAAGAGUAUUCCUUCCUUAUUGGAUUAUCUUGGCAUCAUUUGUCUAAAAUGAAAUUGUCAUGUCUGUGUGUGUCUAUAUCUAGAUUCCUCAUUUUUUUUUGAGACAGGGUCUUACUCUGUUUUCCAGGCUUGGGUGCAGUGGCAUCAUCAUGCCUCACUGCAGCUUCAACCUCCUCAGCUCAGGUGAUCCUGCCACCUCAGUCUUCUAGGUAGCUGGGACUAAAGAUGUGCACCAGCAUGCUCAGCCAAUUUUUUUGUAUUUUUUCAUAGAGACGGGGUUUACCAUGUUGCCCAGAUUGGUGUUGAACUCCUGGACUCAAGCAAUCGGCCUGCUAUGGCCUCCUAAAGUGUGGAGAUUAUAGGCAUAAGCCACCAUGCCUGGUUGCUUCAUUCCAUUUUGUUGAUCUAUAUGUCUAAUUUUUAUGACAAAUAUACAUACUACUUUUGUAUUAGUCUGUUCUCAUGCUGCUAUAAAGAACUGCCCAUGACUGGGCAAUUUAUAAAGAAAAUAAGUUUAAUUGACUCACACUUCAGCAUGGCUUUGGAGGCCUCAGGAAACUUACCAUUAUGGCAGAAGUAGAAGCAAACAUGUACUUCUUCACACUAGGGCAAGAAGUAUGAGUGAAGUGAGGGAAACCCCUUAUAAAAUUAUCAUGUCUCAUGAGAACUCACUUACUGUCAUGAGAACAGAAUGAGGGUAACCCCCCCCCCCCCAUGAUUCAAUUACCUUCCACUGUGUCCCUCCCACAAUAUGUGAGAAUUAUGGGAACUGCAAGUGAAGAUGAGAUUUGGGAGGGGACACAGCCAAAUCAUAUCAUUCUGACCCUGCACCCUCCCAAAUCUCAUAUCCUCACAUUUCAUAACACAAUCAUGCCCUUUCAUCAGUCCCCCAAUUUGUUAACUCAUUAAUACAAAAGUCCAAGUCCAAAGUCUCAUCUAACAAGAGGCAAGUCCCUUCUGCCUAUGAGCCUGUAAAAUCAGAAGCAAGUUGGUUAUUUUGUAUUUACAAUGGAGGUACAGGCAUUGGGUAAAUAAUGCCUUUAAAAAACCUUUCCAAAUGGGAGAAAUUGGCCAAAACAAAGGGGCUAUAGGCCCCAUGAAAGUCUGAAAUUCAAUAGGGUAGUCAUUAAACGUUAAAGUUCCAAAAUAAUCUUCUCUAACUCCAUGUGUCACAUCCAGGUCAUGCUGAUGCAGAAGGUGGGCUCCCACAGACUUGGGAAGCUCCACCCCUAUGGCUUUGUAGGGUACAGCCCUCCUCCCAGCUGCUUUCAUGGGCUGGCGUUGGGUGUCUGUGGCUUUUCUAGGCAUAUGGUGCUAGCUCUUGGUGGAUCUACCAUUCUGGGAUCUGGAGGAAGGUGGCCUUCUUCUCACAGCUCCUCUAGGCAGUACCCCAGUGGGGACUCUGUGUGGGGGCUCCAAUCUCACAUUUCUCUUCUGCCCUUCCCUAGCAGAGGUUCUCAAUGAGGGCUCCACUCCUCCAACAGACUUCUGCCUGGACAUCCAGGUGUUUCCAUACAUCCUCUGAAUCUAGGUGGAGAUUCUCAAACCUCAAUCCUUGACUUCUGUGCACCCGCAGUCCCACCACCUUGUGUAAGACACCAAGGAUUGGGGCUUGCACCAUCUAAAGCAAUGGCCUGAGCUGUAUCUUGGCCCCUUUUAGCCAUGGCUGGAGCUGUAGCAGCUGGGACUAAGGGCACCAUGUCCCGAGGCUGCAUAGAGUUGGGGGAUCCUGGGCCUGGCCCUCAAAGCUAUUUUUCCCUCCUAGGCCUCAGGGCCUAUGAUGGGAGGGGCUGCUGUAAAGGUCUCUGACAUGCCCUGGAGACAUGUUCCCCAUUGUCUUGGUGAUUAACAUUGGAUUCCUCAUUAAUUAUGCAAAUUUCUGCAGCAGACUUGAAUUUGUCCCCAGAAAAAUUAGAAUUUUUUUUUUUUGCUAUCACAUCAUGAGGCUGCAAAUUUUCCAAACUUUUAUGAUUUGUUUUCUCUUGAACACUUUACUGCUUAGAAAUUUCUUCCACCAGAUACCCUAAUUCAUCUCUCUCAAGUUCAAAGUUCCACAGAUCUCUAGGGUGGGGCAAAAUGCCACUAGUCUCUUUUCUAAAGCAUAGCAAGAAUCACUUGUAUUCCAGUUCCCAACAAGUUCCUCAUCUCCAUCUGAGACCACCUCAACCUGGACUUCAUUGUUCAUAUCACUAUCAGUAUUUUGGUCAAAGUCAUUCAACAAGUCUCUAGGAAGUUCCAAACUUCCCCACAUUUUCCUGUUUUCUUCUGAGCCCUCUAAACUGUUCUAACCUCUGCCUGUUAUCCAGUUCCAAAAUCACUUCCACAUUUUCAGGUAUCUUUACAGUAGCACCCCACUGGCUGUGGUACCAAUUUACUGUAUUAGUCCAUUCUCAUGCUGCUAUAAAGCACUGCCUGAGACUGGGUAAUUUAUAAAGGAAAGAGAUUUAAUUGACUCCCAGUUCAGCAUGGCUGGGGAGGCCUCAGGAAACUUACAAUUAUGGCAGAAGGGGAAGCACACAUUUCCUUCUUCACAUGGUGGCAGCAAGGAGAAAUAUGUGCAAAGGGAGGAGAAAGCCCCUUAUAAGACUGUCAGUUCUCACAAGAACUCACUCACUAUCAUGAGAACAGCAUGAAGGUAACUACCCCAUUUAAUUACCUCCCACUGGGUCCCUCCUACAACGUGUGGGGAUUAUGGAAACUACAAUUCAAGAUGAGAUUUUUAUGGGGACACAGCCAAACCAUACCAACUUUGAUUUCUGUAGCUUUAUAUACAUAUUAAAAUCAGGUAGUAUAGGUCAUCCAACUUUGAUAUUCCUUUUAAAAAUAGUUUUGGCUAUACUAAUUACUUUACUGUUCUAUAAAAGUUUUGGAAUCAGCUCAUAAAUUUCCACAAAAUAAAUGUUGCAAUUUUGGGGGGAAUGUGGUAAAUCUAUAGAAAAAGUGAAUAGGAUUGACCUGUUAACAAUAUUGACUCUUCAAUGAAUGAGCACAGCAAGUCUUUCCAUUUAUUUAGGCUUUUAAAAUGUAUCUUAGGAAUGUUUUAUAGUAUUAUGUAUAUGAAUCUUGAAAGUAUUUUAUUAGAUUCAUGUCUAACUAUUUAGUAUAAACUGUUUCAUGUAAUGCCUGAGGAUUUUAGUGUGUGGUAGGCAUUUGGGAUGCUCACCAAUAUGCUAAUUCUCUUUUUAUUGUGCAUCUGGCAACUCUGCCCUUCUCUACCUCCUUGAAAAUCAGCAUGUCCAUAUGUUUGUCUUUUGCCAAUAGAACAUUUCUGAACAAAAAUCUUUAAGACUUGGUGGAUGAUUCAUCCUGUUCCCUUGCCCCACUACUGUGGAAAAAUCAUAGGAAAAAAUGAUACAUGCUCAUGAUAUAUGUACAUUCCAAGGUGAUUGGAAUGUUGGGUACAACAAAAGCAAGGAAGCCGGGGCAUAGCCUUGUUCCAGUAUAUUGGAAAAAUAGUGGUCCAGAUUAUGGAGACUUUCAGUGACAAGCAAAAGUGAUUGAACUUUGGCUGGACACAUUGGCUCAUGCCCAUAAUCUGAGCACUUUGGGAGGCCAGGGUGGACAGAUCACUUGAGGUCAGGAGUUCAGGACCAACCUGGCCAACAUGGUGAAACCCUGUCUCUCUAAAAAUACAAACAUUAGCCAGGAGUGGUGGUACAUGCCUGUAGUCCCAGCUACUUGGGAGGCUAAGGCAGGAGAAUUGCUUGAACCCGGGAGGUGGAGGUUGCAGUGAGCUGAGAUGGCACCACUGUACUCCAACCUGGCCAAUAGAGUGAGACUGCAUCUCAAAAAAAAAAAAAGUGAUUGAAUUUUAUUUUGAAAGCAGUGGGGUAACUUUGGAAGGUUUGUGAGCAGAGGAAUGAAGUGACCAGAACUGGGCCAUAGAAUGUAAAUCCAGCAAUGGAAUAGGGAGGACUAGACUGAAGAGGAGGAGGUACCAAUAAUGGAAAGAAUGGUUAGGAAGAUUUCCCACUAGUCUGUUGAGAUCAGGGAAGUCAUCUAAGUUUGUAAUAGAGCAAAUAGAAAGGAAAAAACAAAAAUGGGAUAAUUGUAGAGAUGAAUUUGAUGUGUGGUUGGGCAUAAUCAACAGAGAAGACAGAAUCUUUUAGGAGAAACCUUCCCUGGCAGUUUUGUAGGUGAAUCCCCUUUUGGGGCAUCUGGAAAAUAUGCAUGUUUCUAUAUUAAUAUAGAGGUAGCUAUCAUGGGACAGUCACUUUGUCAGGAUUUCCAUUUUUUACUGAGAUGUGCAAUAGGGUUCAUACUUUCUCCAUGGCAGAGUAUGAGGGGAAGGAGAGAGAGUUCUAGAGAGAUACUUUCCUGCAUUUCGAGACUCAAGAAAUAGCCUCCUGAUUUACUAAAUAAAAACAGGAAAGGAGUUUUGUGUGGUCUGCUCUUUCUCCUGGAACUUGAAAGACUUAGUAGUCAUGAGGUGGCUAUCCCUGGUGUUUUCCUAAUUUUGAAUCUAGGACCUAUUAUGAGAUUGAGUUUUAUUUUUACUACUUUGCUAAUCAGAGCUCAAGGGUAAGUUUUUCAAAAUCUUCAUCAGCUGGCAAACACAGAGGCAAAGUGUGGACAUAGUUGUGUUUAUAUUCAUUGAAAAAUAAAAAUUUGGUGCUUUUCCAA